rnacentral:rRNA from 1 species
AUGAACGCUGGCGGCGUGCCUAAUACAUGCAAGUCGAGCGAACAGACGAGGAGCUUGCUCCUCUGACGUUAGCGGCGGACGGGUGAGUAACACGUGGAUAACCUACCUAUAAGACUGGGAUAACUUCGGGAAACCGGAGCUAAUACCGGAUAAUAUAUUGAACCGCAUGGUUCAAUAGUGAAAGACGGUUUUGCUGUCACUUAUAGAUGGAUCCGCGCCGCAUUAGCUAGUUGGUAAGGUAACGGCUUACCAAGGCAACGAUGCGUAGCCGACCUGAGAGGGUGAUCGGCCACACUGGAACUGAGACACGGUCCAGACUCCUACGGGAGGCAGCAGUAGGGAAUCUUCCGCAGUGGGCGAAAGCCUGACGGAGCAACGCCGCGUGAGUGAUGAAGGUCUUCGGAUCGUAAAACUCUGUUAUUAGGGAAGAACAAAUGUGUAAGUAACUAUGCACGUCUUGACGGUACCUAAUCAGAAAGCCACGGCUAACUACGU